ACACUGCCUUUGACCACCUUUGUCCUACCCCAGAACCUGGGACCCAUUGGUUCAGCAGAGCAUGAGGACACAGGGUAUUGGAACUGCCAGAUGAGAAGCCUGCUAUUGGUCCCCCAGAGAAAUCACCUUCAAUGCCUGCUCCAACCCUGAUUUCAGUCGCAAAUCCAGCUACACUGCUGACAGGCAACACUAAGUGGCUGGAGAGAAGCCUAAGGGUGCAACAGGAACAGAAAAGGGGGAUGUAAUGACUGUAGUGCCCUGCUAGGAGAUGAAGAACUGGCCCACUUCAAAGACCACCCAGGGCCCAUCCUGGCACUGAGAAACAGGGGGAAAAGACCACCCGGCUGAAUAUGAAGAACUGCAGGAGGACAAAGGUUGCUUGUUGAUAGAACUCCAACUGCUAUAAGCAACCAGUUACGAACAAGUCAUAUUCUUAUUAAUCGCUGAGAAGCUAGACUGCACCUCUCCUGUCAGAUGGAUGAAAUGUCUCACAGAACAACUCAAUCACAAGAUACAAGCCCUCUCAAAACCCACUCUGGACGGCUGGGAGAAAGCUUUUGGGCAACAUGGAAGGUUGCAGGCAGGAGAGAAGGAGAAGAAGAAAAAAAACCCUGCGCUUACAGAUGGAUGCUGGUACGGCACUGGGUUUAGACCUUUUGCCUUCAUGGUUCCGACAAGCCAAGGCACUUGAGAGCAAUGUUCCUCAAGAAAAGGGCAUUGCUGCUUCUAAGCUAUAGAAAAAUACAAGAAUGAAUUUGUAAAUGAGGCUCCCUGAGACUUCAUUUCUAGCUAACUGAGCCAAUGAUAGCUGAAAGCAUGAUCAAGAGAAGCUAGCAUAUCCUUUAUAUGCAGAUAGGCACUUUGUUGGUCUUAGCUUAAACAUUCUCACCAAAAUGGAGGCUUAAACUAUAAAUAUGUUGCAGAAAGGGGGCAGACAGGAGGGCAACUGUGGGCCAGGAUCUGCAUUUUGAUUUUUUGUUUCUCUUCCCUGACAGUCUCACACUGUUGCUCUUCUGAACACCAACAAUACCCAUUUGCAAACCUAACCAAACUCUGAAGUAAUUCAAAACUCAUUCUAUAUCUGGCAUACUAGGUCUAAAACAGAAUGCUUCUGCUAAUAGUGUGAUGUUAUAAAAGUCUACUCAGAAUAGAGCUGCAGUGAAUACAGUGGGAUUCACACCCAGGUAAACAUGUGGAGGAGUCCACCCAUUGGCUGUUUGCUUAAUUGUGAACAAGUAGUUGCUCCAUUACUGAAAACAUGUAACUAAACUUAGACUAGAAAGUAACACCAGGACUGAGGUGGUUUCUCCCUAUUAAGAAAGCUCUUCCUUUGGUCUUAUAGAUCACUGGUUCUUAACCUUGGGUUACUCAGGAGUUUUGGACUGCAACUCCCAGAAGCCUUCACCACCAACUGU